rnacentral:rRNA from 1 species
GACGAACGCUGGCGGCGUGCCUAACACAUGCAAGUUGAGCGACGAACCAGGGCUUGCCCUGGGGCAAAGCAGCGAACGGGUGAUUAACACGUGGGUAACCUACCCCGAUAACCGGGACAACCCGAGGAAACUCGGGCUAAUACCGGAUGUGCUCACUUGACUUCGGUUCAGUGCGUAAAGGAAGCUUCGGCCUCCGUAUCGGGAGGGGCCCGCGGCCCAUUAGUUUGUUGGUGAGGUAACGGCUCACCAAGACCGCGAUGGGUAGCUGGUCUGAGAGGACGAUCAGCCACACUGGGACUGAGACACGGCCCAGACUCCUACGGGAGGCAGCAGUGGGGAAUCUUGCGCAAUGCGCGAAAGCGUGACGCAGCAACGCCGCGUGGGGGAAGAAGGCCUUCGGGUUGUAAACCCCUUUCAGGAGGGACGAAGGUUCGGCGGUGAAUAGCCGUCCGGACUGACGGUACCUCCACAAGAAGCCCCGGCUAACUACGUG